rnacentral:rRNA from 1 species
UAGGGAAUCUUCGGCAAUGGGGGGAACCCUGACCGAGCAACGCCGCGUGAGUGAAGAAGGUUUUCGGAUCGUAAAGCUCUGUUGUUAAGGAAGAACGAGUGUGAGAAUGGAAAGUUCAUGCUGUGACGGUACUUAACCAGAAAGGGACGGCUAACUACGUGCCAGCAGCCGCGGUAAUACGUAGGUCCCGAGCGUUGUCCGGAUUUAUUGGGCGUAAAGCGAGCGCAGGCGGUUAGAUAAGUCUGAAGUUAAAGGCAGUGGCUCAACCAUUGUAGGCUUUGGAAACUGUUUAACUUGAGUGCAGAAGGGGAGAGUGGAAUUCCAUGUGUAGCGGUGAAAUGCGUAGAUAUAUGGAGGAACACCGGUGGCGAAAGCGGCUCUCUGGUCUGUAACUGACGCGGAGGCUCGAAAGCGUGGGGAGCGAACAGG